AUAGCGUAUAUUAAAGUUGCUGCGGUUAAAAAGCUCGUAGUUGGAUCUGGGUAGUCGAUGAGCGGUGCGCCGUAAGGCGCUACUGCUCGUUCGGCACCACAUGCCGGCCAUGUCUCGCAUGCUCUUCAUUGAGUGUGCUUGGCGACCGGAACGUUUACUUUGAAAAAAUUAGAGUGCUCAAAGCAGGCGUUAAGCCUUGCAUAAUGGUGCAUGGAAUAAUAAAAUAAGACCUUGGUUCUAUUUUGUUGGCUUUCGGAGCUCAAGGUAAUGAUUAAUAGGAACAGACGGGGGCAUUCGUAUUGCGGCGUUAGAGGUGAAAUUCUUGGAUCGUCGCAAGACGCACUACUG
rnacentral:rRNA from 1 species